AUUAAAAAAUCAAUGCUCUUGCACGUCGCAUACAAGGGGAGGAGACUGAUUUAGUUUUCCGAAAGAUGAAGUUUAACCUGCUGUCUGUCUUUUGCACAUUAUACUCCAGGGAUUGGUGACGUGAUACAAACAGGUGAGGAUUAGGAUUCUUGUCCCCCUGCCGCCGGUCGCAUCUCUCCAGAGCUUCACUGCUGUGCCAUGCAGGGCUGGGAGCCCAGUCCUCUUCCAACCCUCACACGGAAUCCACAAAACCGCUGAGUGCUGCACUUUCACACCUAUCACAAUCCUGGGGUGUCCUCUCCCAUCCCAGAGUAGGAUCCAGUCCUGAAGGAAGCAGACUGAGGCGGAAAGAUGAGCCCCGUGCUGUUUGUUUUUCACCCAGGAAUGCCAGUUGUAUAAAAGUGGUUACAUAUUCAUGGAUCUCAGAGACAAAGAGACUUCAAUAGUAUCAGCUAUCUCACAUCCCACAGUUACACAAAAUUAAAACCAGCAAGCGCCUCAAUGACUUACCGUAGGACUCCCCGCCUCAAUGACUUACCAUGGGAUUCCCCACCUCAAUGACUUACCAUGGGAUUCCCCGUCUCAAUGACUUACCAUGGGAUUCCUCACCUCAAUCUGCUUCCUUCAGCACCCAAGACUCAGGAGA